rnacentral:misc_RNA from 1 species
CUAUGGAGUACAGAAAUGUACAAGAAGGCUUUACUCACUCGUUGUCAGUUUUGAAAGGGCGACCUUUCAUCUGUUCGCGGUGCGAACUACCUGUUUGGUGGCGAUGGCGGAAGGGAACCACACGUACCCAUCCCGAACACGGCCGUUAAGCCUUCCAGCGCCGAUGGUACUUGGACCGAAGGGUCCCGGGAGAGUAGGACGCCGCCAAGCAGACCCACUGUGGUGGGUUUUUAUUUUCGAAAAAAUAUGUUUUAAACACAUGCUUUCCUGUGUAAAGGAUAGGGCAUAACCUUUCGGAUAAGUUAGUUUUACAAGUUAAAUGUUUAUUCCAUUGAAGUAAUUUUUCGAGGGCCCUUAGCUCAGUUGGUUAGAGCGCACCCCUGAUAAGGGUGAGGUCGGUGGUUCGAGUCCACUAGGGCCCACCAUUAAAUAUCCUAAAGAUUAGGGUCAUAAAAAUAUGGGGCCAUAGCUCAGCUGGGAGAGCGCCUGCCUUGCAAGCAGGAGGUCAGCGGUUCGAUCCCGCUUGGCUCCACCAGAAACGCUUCAGCAAAGCCAACCUUUCCAACAAAUAGAGGCUUGAAAAGAACGGAGCGCUUGUGGUAAGAUAGCUUUUGCCGCCGACGCGGCGAAACCUUGUACCUUGAAAACUAGAUAGCGAAACAAAGCGAGAACUUAGAACAUCCUUAGUAUAAAGCGAAGUGUUUCGUUUGAAGUGAGCGACUUUGCAGAUGAAUGUUCACCUUACGUGUGAUUGAAAACAUUCAGGUGCAGCGAAAGCCCUUCAAAGAAAUACAAAGCAUA